rnacentral:rRNA from 1 species
GAUGAACGCUGGCGGCGUGCCUAAUACAUGCAAGUCGAGCGAACAGACGAGGAGCUUGCUCCUCUGACGUUAGCGGCGCACGGGUGAGUAACACGUGAAUAACCUACCUAUAAGACUGGGAUAACUUCGGGAAACCGGAGCUAAUACCGGAUAAUAUAUUGAACCGCAUGGUUCAAUAGUGAAAGACGGUUUUGCUGUCACUUAUAGAUGGAUCCGCGCCGCAUUAGCUAGUUGGUAAGGUAACGGCUUACCACGGCAACGAUGCGUAGCCGACCUGAGAGGGUGAUCGGCCACACUGGAACUGAGACACGGUCCAGACUACUACGGGAGGCAGCAGUAGGGAAUCUUCCGCAAUGGGCGAAAGCCUGACGGAGCAACGCCGCGUGAGUGAUGAAGGUCUUCGGAUCGUAAAACUCUGUUAUUAGGGAAGAACAAAUGUGUAAGUAACUAUGCACGUCUUGACGGUACCUAAUCAGAAAGCCACGGCUAACUACGUG